rnacentral:rRNA from 1 species
UACGAAGGGGGCGAGCGCUGUUCGGAUUUACUGGGCGUAAAGCGUGCGCAGGCGGUUUUGUAAGUUUGUCGUGAAAUCCCCGGGCUCAACCUGGGAAUGGCGAUGAAGACUGCAAGGCUAGAAUCUGGCAGAGGGGGGUAGAAUUCCACGUGUAGCAGUGAAAUGCGUAGAGAUGUGGAGGAACACCGAUGGCGAAGGCAGCCCCCUGGGUCAAGAUUGACGCUCAUGCACGAAAGCGUGGGGAGCAAACAGG